rnacentral:rRNA from 1 species
GCGACGAAUCUUCCGCAAUGGGCGCAAGCCUGACGGAGCGACGCCGCGUGUGGGAUGAAGCGCCUUCGGCGUGUAAACCACUGUCAGGGGACGGAACCAAUGAUUGUCUCCAAAGGAAGGGGCGACUAACUCUGUGCCAGCAGUCGCGGUAAGACAGAGGCCCCGAGCGUUAAUCGGAAUCACUGGGCUUAAAGGGUGCGUAGGCUGAUCCGCAAGUGCUUCGUGAAAUCCCCCGGCUCAACCGGGGAACAGCGGGGCAUACUGCGGAUCUUGAGGCAGGUAGGCGCCGAGGGAACAGUAGGUGGAGCGGUGAAAUGCGUAGAUAUCUACUGGAACGCCGAUGGUGAAGACGCUCGGCUGGGCCUGUCCUGACGCUGAGGCACGAAAGCGUGGGGAGCAAACAGGAUUAGAAACCCGGGUAGUCC